rnacentral:lncRNA from 1 species
GACAACUUCUAGAUACAUUUAUUGAAGGGCUUAUUCCAAAGAUCCGGUGUGAAGUUAAGGCUCAUCAACCCCGCACUAUGAUAGCUGCGAUCUCAUUUGCACAUCUACAUGAGAAAAAAAUUAGCAAGGAAAUAUCAGCAAGGGGUUUGUACUAUGAUGAAAAAUAGAGUAUGGAGCACCGAUAUAAAUAAGGGCAACUUCUAAUGAUUGAACCAAUUGGAGAGGAGCCGAAAGCUAAGAAUGUAGACUCCGAUCAUGAAGGUAUAAAUUCUAAUGAAGAUGUUGAACCUACCAUACAUACAAUGCAUACAUUAGCCGACUACUCUAACUCGCAAAAUAUGGAAGUUGGCGGAACUCUAGAGCAUCAACCUAUUAUAGUUUUGAUUGAUACUGGUAGCACUAACAAUUUUAUGGACAGUGAGACUGUUGACCGAUUGGCCCACCACAUUGAAGACUAUGACAGAUUCGAAGUAAAGAUCGUUGAUGGACGGAUUUUCCCUUGUGAUAGCAAAGGUUUAAAGAUAAAAUUGAUUAUACAGG